rnacentral:rRNA from 1 species
ACGGGUGAGUAACACGUAUCCAACCUGCCGUCUACUCUUGGACAGCCUUCUGAAAGGAAGAUUAAUACCAAGAUGGCAUCAUGAGUCCGCAUGUUCACAUGAUUAAAGGUAUUCCGGUAGACGAUGGGGAUGCGUCCCAUUAGCUUGUUGGCGGGGUAACGGCCCACCAAGGCGACGAUGGUAGGGGUUCUGAGAGGAAGGUCCCCCACAUUGGAACUGAGACACGGUCCAAACUCCUACGGGAGGCAGCAGUGAGGAAUAUUGGUCAAUGGGCGCGAGCCUGAACCAGCCAAGUAGCGUGGAGGACGACGGCCCUACGGGUUGUAAACUCCUUUAUAAGGGGAUAAAGUUGGCCAUGUAUGGCCAUUUGCAGGUACCUUAUGAAUAAGCAUCGGCUAAUUCCGUG